rnacentral:rRNA from 1 species
CGAUUAAGCCAUGCGAGUCAUAUGUUCUUCGUGAACAUGGCGUACUGCUCAGUAACACGUGGAUAACCUGCCCUUGGGACCGGGAUAACCCCGGGAAACUGGGGAUAAUACCGGAUAACGCAUAUCUGCUGGAAUGCUUUAUGCGUAAAAUGGAUUUGUCUGCCCAAGGAUGGGUCUGCGGCCUAUCAGGUAGUAGUGGGUGUAAUGUACCUACUAGCCUACGACGGGUACGGGUUGUGAGAGCAAGAGCCCGGAGAUGGAUUCUGAGACAUGAAUCCAGGCCCUACGGGGCGCAGCAGGCGCGAAAACUUUACAAUGCGGGAAACCGUGAUAAGGGGACACCGAGUGCCAGCAUCAUAUGUUGGCUGUCCAGAUGUGUAAAAUACAUCUGUUAGCAAGGGCCGGGCAAGACCGGUGCCAGCCGCCGCGGUAACACCGGCGGCCCGAGUGGUGAUCGUGAUUAUUGGGUCUAAAGGGUCCGUAGCCGGUUUGGUCAGUCCUCCGGGAAAUCUGACGGCUCAACCGUUAGGCUUUCGGUGGAUACUGCCAGACUUGGAACCGGGAGAGGUAAGAGGUACUACAGGGGUAGGAGUGAAAUCUUGUAAUCCCUGUGAGACCACCUGUGGCGAAGGCGUCUUACCAGAACGGGUUCGACGGUGAGGGACGAAAGCUGGGGGCACGAACCGGAUUAGAUACCCGGGUAGUCCCAGCCGUAAACGAUGCUCGCUAGGUGUCAGGCAUGGCGCGACCGUGUCUGGUGCCGCAGGGAAGCCGUGAAGCGAGCCACCUGGGAAGUACGGCCGCAAGGCUGAAACUUAAAGGAAUUGGCGGGGGAGCA